CUCCUAACACAUGCAAGUCCGAGGGAGAAGCUUACUUUCGGGUGAGUGGAGACCGGCGAACGGGUGAGUAGCACGUGAGGAACCUGCCCUGAGGUUUGGAAUAACCAGUGGAAACGUUGGCUAAUGCCGAAUAUGACUGGCCGCCGCAUGGUUUUUGGUGGAAAGCUUUGGCGUCUCGGGAUGGUCUCGCCGGCCUAUCAGAUGGUUGGUGGGGUAAUGGCCUACCAAGUCGACGACGGGUACUUGGAGUGAGACUUGUACACCCCAUUUGGGACUGAGACACGGGCCAGACUCCUACGGGGAGGCAACAAUUGGGGAAUCUUGCGCAUGGACGGAAUCUGACGCAGCGACGCCGCGUGUGGGAGGAAGGCCUUCGGGUUGUAAACCCUUUCGGGAGGGAAGAAGCGUUUUGUGACGGUACCUUCAGAAGAAGCCCCGGCCAACUACGUGCCAGCAGCCGCGGUAAUACGUAGGGGGCGAGCGUUGUCCGGAAUUAUUCGGGCGUAAAGGGCUCGUAGGUGGUUCGUUAAGUUAGAUGUGAAAUUGUACCGGCUUAACCGUGCACUGGCAUCUGAUACUUGGCGGGCUUGAGGCAGGUAGAGGACAAUGGAAUUCCUUGGUGUAGCCGGUGGAAUGCGCAGAUAUCAGGAAGGAACACCGAUUGCGAAGGCAGUUCUCUUGGGCCUGUGCUUGACGCUUGAGGAGCCGAAAGCCGUGGGGAGCCGAACAGGAUUAGAUACCCUGGUAGUCCACGCUGUAAACGAUGGAUGCUAGGUGUGGGGCUUUAUUGUGGGUUCCGUGCCCGUAGCUAACGCAUUAAA
rnacentral:rRNA from 1 species